ensembl:processed_transcript
GAAGAAAAAGUUUGGUUUUUCAAAGAUUCACGUGGAUUCCGGUCAGAAAGAUGCAUAUGAGGAAGCUCGACUCAAACAUCCACACGCAACUGUGAUUUCUGACUGGUAGACAGAUGAGGAUGAUGAUCGCCUGUCAUACAUCUAAAGACAGAACAGGGACAGUAUAGACACAUCUAUACCGUGAUGAAGAAAAAUUACUUGGAACAAAGAGGCUGGAUAAAAGGCAGCACGACUGACUGAAGUUUUAAAAUCAUGCAACGUCAUAAAGCAGCAGCUGGGCCUGAUUCUCACAAAACCAAAACAGACGUGAUGAAAUUCCAGAUGUAAACACAUUUGACCUUCCUUUGGCCAAUUUGAUUUGGAAAAGCUUGAAAAUCAACUGAAGGAGCAGCCUGAACAAAUGAAGAAACUGAUGGAGUGAGGACAAAUGUCCAUACCACACCACUGAUAAGGAAAUGGAAAAAUGCAUUACAAGGUAGCUACAACUUGCCCCUGACAGGGAUGGAGGAAGAAAGAAGAGAAAGCUAAUGUGUCAAAUGUCUACAUCACUAUUUUGUUUUAUUUUUUAAACAACAUUUUAAGUGUAUUAGGAUGUUCCCUGAUACUUGAACAAUUUGUUUCUUUCAUUUGCAUUUAUAUAUAUAUAUAUAUAUAUAUAUAUAUAUAUAUAUAUAUAUAUAUAUAUAUAUAUAUAUAUAUAUAUAUAUAUAUGUAUAUAUAUAUAUAUAUAUAUAUAUAUAUGUAUAUAUGUAUAUGUAUAUAUAUGUGUGUGUGUGUAUGUGUGUGUGUAUAUAUGUAUGGUAUGUAUGUAUGUAUGUAUGUGUGUGCGCCAAAUUCUGAAGAAACAUCUUGAUACAUUUUUAAUAAACGUAAUACAAAUAAAAUUAUAAAUAUAAAAUUGCACAAGACGUGUAUAUAUAUGAAAUGUAUAAUCAUCUCACUCAUGUCUUGCUGUGUGCAAUUGAUUUU